UGUGAGGUGGCUGAAAAUAGGCAGUUGGCUGUAAACCUUCUAAUGGAGUUAGAUCCUCUCGCAA
rnacentral:tRNA from 1 species